rnacentral:rRNA from 1 species
UAACGGCCGCGGUAUCCUGACCGUGCGAAGGUAGCGUAAUCAUUUGUCUUUUAAAUAGAGACCUGUAUGAAUGGCAUAACGAGGGUUUAACUGUCUCCUUCCCCUAGUCAAUGAAAUUGAUCUGCCCGUGCAGAAGCGGACAUAAAUACAUAAGACGAGAAGACCCUAUGGAGCUUUAGACAAAAGAUCAAACAUGUAAAGAAACCAAGUUAACCAAAAGGAACACAAAGGCCACGAAACCCGACGUAAACUGAUCCAAAUGUCUUCGGUUGGGGCGACCAUGGGGGAGAAAAAAGCCCCCACGAGGAACAGGGACUAAUCCCUAAGCCAAGAGAGACAUCUCUAAGCAACAGAAAAUCUGACCAAAAGUGACCCAGAAUACUAAUUCUGAUCAACGAACCAAGUUACCCUAGGGAUAACAGCGCAAUCCUUUCCCAGAGUCCAUAUCGACGAAAGGGUUUACGACCUCGAUGUUGGAUCAGGACAUCCUAAUGGUGCAGCCGCUAUUAAGGGUUCGUU